rnacentral:lncRNA from 1 species
GUGUCAGUGUCAUUCUGUAAACUAAUAUCAACAAAUACACAGAUUGUAUAAUUGGAAGGAACACACCAUGAAGAUUUUUUUGAUCUCCCUCCAAGGCACCAAUCGUUCUACUAAGUACCCAUGGGGUUGAAUAACUUUCCAAUGGUGAAAUUACUACCUCCCAAAGCAAAGUGUGCCUUAUUUUCUGCAGAAAUCUUCCCGCCCUGUUCCUGCUGCCUUCUGCUCUCUGCAGUUAGAAUGCAGUUAAACCCUCUCCAUAGCACCUCAGCUAUGUCCCACUAGAGAGCUUCCUCCUUCAGGAAGAUUCUCUCCCUGACUCUUUCUUGCACUAAGUUCCUCACGAGAAAUGAGAUUCUUUCCCCUGCCCCUUGUCUGGACUUAGUGUAUCUUUUAAAAUGUGCUGUUUUAGGAGGCUGUGCAUUCUUCCUCGUGAAAGACAAGAACAUUUUUGAGUUCCUCUUAUUGUCCUAAGCUGAGUGAAUCGUGGUUUCACUUUAUUUCUGGACAGUUACAGCCAACAGACACAACCUUUGCCCCCAAACACCGCAUUCACUUUGCACAAAUUUGUUGACCUCACACCUAAAUCAGCUUUUAUUGAACCCUCAUCUGAACAAACAAACAUUCAUUCUGAUCUGCGGAUAUCCCGUGCGGCGUCAGGAAGGGCCGGCUCUGCACUGCUGGCUCAGUGAGCUUGCCACCGAUACAGAUUCGGUUUCCUUUUGCUCCUGACUUUAAGAAGUAAGACAAAAAAGCAAUUCCUGCUAAUCUCUUAGACAAUGCAAAAGGCUCCACACUCUAUUCCAGGAAGCUGGUUUCAACAAGGUAACAGACCACCAAGCCCAGAAGGGAGUCUAGGGAUAUCGACAAGGAGGUGGCAUUCAGGCUCUCCAGGAGGCCCGGGGGCCCGCUCUGUCUAUCGCUCCCCACCCCCGGCUGCACCGUCACUUCAAUGCCCGGCAGAUCGCGGGCUGCGGCUCUUUCAAAGGCGGCGGAGGACCAGGGGCGCCCCGCGCCAAGGCUGACUCGGACCGGCGCCGAAGCCUGACCCGUGCGCCCUUGGGCACCGACGCGCGUCCCUGUGCACUUCGGGCCCGCGUGGGGCAGCCCCGGCCAGGAUGGCCCCAGGCCGGGCAGUGGCAGGGCUCCUGUUGCUGGCGGCCGCCGGCCUCGGAGGAGAGACUGCGGGGCCCGAGCUCGCCUUCAGCGAGGAUGUGCUGAGCGUGUUCGGCGCGAACAGGAGCCUGUCGGUGGCGCAGCUCCGGCGCUUGUUGGAGCAGCUGGGAUCCGGCCCCGUGGAG